CACUACCGACCAGGGGGCAGAGUCAACAUACACGAUCGGCUAGAAGAGAUGGCCGAUGCUCGGGUGUUAGAUGAAAACCCCCUGGGACGGGAGCCAGACUAGGAGCGCGCCAGACCGCCGGCCAAACCGGUGAACAUCAGGUGGUGCCCUGACGGAUUGACCAAAUCCCAAAAGCGAAGAAUCCAACGCCUGUGCUAAUGGGAACAACAGGAAGAAGAGCAGAAGCAGAUGGUGG
rnacentral:lncRNA from 1 species